UUAAGUGAAUAAGGGCGCACGGUGGAUGCCUUGGCACUAGGAGCCGAUGAAGGACGGGACUAACACCGAUAUGCUUUGGGGAGCUGUACGUAAGCUAUGAUCCAGAGAUUUCCGAAUGGGGGAACCCAACAUCUUUAAUAGGAUGUUACGAUUGUGUGAAUACAUAGCACAUUCGAGGUAGACGCAGAGAACUGAAACAUCUAAGUACCUGCAGGAAGAGAAAGAAAAUUCGAUUCCCUGAGUAGCGGCGAGCGAAACGGGAAAAGCCCAAACCAGCAAGCUUGCUUGUUGGGGUUGUAGGACUCCAAUAUGGUAGUUCUUUCAGAUAGUCGAAUGACUUGGAAAAGUCAGUCAAAGAGGGUAAAAACCCCGUAGACGAAAUGUGGAAGACACCUAGGAGGAUCCUGAGUACGGCGGAACACGAGAAAUUCCGUCGGAAUCCGGGAGGACCAUCUCCCAAGGCUAAAUACUCCCUAGUGACCGAUAGUGAACCAGUACCGUGAGGGAAAGGUGAAAAGCACCCCGGAAGGGGAGUGAAAUAGAACCUGAAACCGUGUGCCUACAACAAGUCAAAGCCCGUUAAUGGGUGAUGGCGUGCCUUUUGUAGAAUGAACCGGCGAGUUACGAUUGCAUGCGAGGUUAAGUUGAAGAGACGGAGCCGCAGCGAAAGCGAGUCUGAAUAGGGCGUUUGAGUAUGUAGUCGUAGACCCGAAACCAUGUGAUCUACCCAUGUCCAGGUUGAAGGUGCGGUAAAACGCACUGGAGGACCGAACCCACGUACGUUGAAAAGUGCGGGGAUGAGGUGUGGGUAGCGGAGAAAUUCCAAACGAACUUGGAGAUAGCUGGUUCUCUCCGAAAUAGCUUUAGGGCUAGCCUCGGAAUUGAGAAUGAUGGAGGUAGAGCACUGUUUGGACUAGGGGCCCAUCUCGGGUUACCGAAUUCAGAUAAACUCCGAAUGCCAUUCAUUCAUAUCCGGGAGUCAGACUGUGAGUGAUAAGAUCCAUAGUCGAAAGGGAAACAGCCCAGACCACCAGCUAAGGUCCCAAAAUAUAUGUUAAGUGGAAAAGGAUGUGGGGUUGCACAGACAACUAGGAUGUUGGCUUAGAAGCAGCCACCAUUUAAAGAGUGCGUAAUAGCUCACUAGUCGAGUGACCCUGCGCCGAAAAUGUACCGGGGCUAAACAUAUUACCGAAGCUGUGGAGUACACCUUUAGGUGUAUUGGUAGGAGAGCGUUCUAAGGGCGUCGAAGGCAGAUCGUGAGGACUGCUGGAGCGCUUAGAAGUGAGAAUGCCGGUAUGAGUAGCGAAAGACAGGUGAGAAUCCUGUCCACCGAAUGACUAAGGUUUCCUGGGGAAGGCUCGUCCGCCCAGGGUUAGUCGGGACCUAAGCCGAGGCCGACAGGCGUAGGCGAUGGAUAACAGGUUGAUAUUCCUGUACCCGUUGUUUUUGUUUGAGCAAUGGAGGGACGCAGGAGGCUAAGGAAUGCAGACGAUCGGAAAUGUCUGUCCAAGCAGUAAGUCUGAAGAGGAGUCAAAUGCUUCUUUUCUUAAGGACCCAAUCAAUAAAUUGUGGAGAGAGGCAAUGGCCUGACUGAUGUCACACUGCCGAGAAAAGCUUCUAGUGAGAAAACAGCGGCCCGUACCGCAAACCGACACAGGUAGUCGAGGAGAGAAUCCUAAGGUGAGCGAGAGAACUCUCGUUAAGGAACUCGGCAAAAUGACCCCGUAACUUCGGGAGAAGGGGUGCUGAUCAUACGAUCAGCCGCAGUGAAUAGGCCCAAGCGACUGUUUAUCAAAAACACAGGUCUCUGCAAAAUCGUAAGAUGAAGUAUAGGGGCUGACGCCUGCCCGGUGCUGGAAGGUUAAGAGGAGUGCUUAGCGCAAGCGAAGGUACGAAUUGAAGCCCCAGUAAACGGCGGCCGUAACUAUAACGGUCCUAAGGUAGCGAAAUUCCUUGUCGGGUAAGUUCCGACCCGCACGAAAGGCGUAACGAUUUGGGCACUGUCUCAACGAGAGACUCGGUGAAAUUUUAGUACCUGUGAAGAUGCAGGUUACCCGCGACAGGACGGAAAGACCCCAUGGAGCUUUACUGUAGUUUGAUAUUGAGUGUCUGUACCGCAUGUACAGGAUAGGUAGGAGCCGUAGAAAUCGGAACGCUAGUUUCGAUGGAGGCGCUGGUGGGAUACUACCCCUGCGUUAUGGCCACUCUAACCCGCACCACUAAUCGUGGUGGGAGACAGUGUCAGAUGGGCAACAAUUGGUAUUUACCUGAUCAGUCUGGCUUUGCUAGGAUUAGCCGCAGGCCCUCAGAAUGGUUGGAAAUCAUUCGAAGAGUGUAAAGGCAGAAGGGAGCUUGACUGCGAGACCAACAAGUCGAGCAGGGACGAAAGUCGGGCUUAGUGAUCCGGUGGUUCCGCAUGGAAGGGCCAUCGCUCAACGGAUAAAAGCUACCCUGGGGAUAACCAAAAUUUAGUGAUGAUUUCUUUGCAAUCACUUUUUCGAAUUCCAUUCUUAUUUAUUGGUGCCUAUCCUGGGGCUGUAGUCGGUCCCAAGGGUUGGGCUGUUCGCCCAUUAAAGCGGCACGCGAGCUGGGUUCAGAACGUCGUGAGACAGUUCGGUCCCUAUCCGUCGCGGGCGUUGGAAAUUUGAGAGGAGCUGUCCUUAGUACGAGAGGACCGGGAUGGACUUACCGCUGGUGUACCAGUUGUUCUGCCAAGGGCAUUGCUGGGUAGCUAUGUAGGGAAGGGAUAAACGCUGAAAGCAUCUAAGUGUGAAGCCCACCUCAAGAUGAGAUUUCCCAUUUCUUUAAGAAAGUAAGAUCCCUGAGAGAUGAUCAGGUAGAUAGGUCAGGAGUGGAAGUACAGUGAUGUAUGGAGCGGACUGAUACUAAUCGAUCGAGGACUUAACC
rnacentral:rRNA from 1 species